GCCCCCGUGGCCUAAUGGAUAAGGCAUCGGCCUCCUAAGCCGGGGAUUGCGGGUUCGAGUCCCGCCGGGGGUA
rnacentral:tRNA from 3 species